rnacentral:lncRNA from 1 species
AAUAUACUGUUCUGUUUCGUUCGAGAGAGUGUGAGACGAGCCCAUCCAAAUACCUGAGAGAUAAUACAAGAAACUACAUAAUUUCCAAAGAUAUUAAGGUCUAAAUAGUCAAAAGUCCAAAAAGUCUAAAACGUCAGUCUUUCGCCCUCAUUGUACAUCAUCGGCGUUGUUGUUCGUACUUCAUUGUCGCCAUUGUUCCUCGUCGUCCAUCGUCUCCGUCCUCGUCAGCCGUCCAUUGGCGCCCCGAUGGGACGAGCUGCUUUCUGUUAUGGAGACUCUUCUGCUGUGUGUGUCUCUCUGUCUGUCUAUCUGUGUAUCUAUAUGCUCCCUCUGUGUGUGAUGCUCUGCUCCUCUUUUCGUCAUCUCCUUUCCCAUAUAUCUCACUCCGAUGUUUCAGUGUUUACUUCCACUCUCACAGUUUGGUUGUUUAUCUUCAGCGGAUUCCCAC